rnacentral:rRNA from 1 species
GUGUCAGCCGCCGCGGUAAUACGGAGGGGGCGAGUGUUGUUCGGAAUUACUGGGCGUAAAGGGCGCGCAGGCGGCCUGGCAAGUCGAGUGUGAAAUCCCUUGGCUUAACUGAGGAAUGGCGCUCGAAACUACCUCGCUGGAGGGCGGGAGAGGGAAGUGGAACUCUCGGUGUAGGGGUGAAAUCUGUAGAUAUCGAGAGGAACACCGGUGGCGAAGGCGGCUUCCUGGCCCGUACCUGACGCUGAGGCGCGAAAGCGUGGGGAGCAAACAGGAUUAGAAACCCCCGUAGUCC